ACGUAAAAUUUUAAUAGUCGAACAGACUAAAAUUUAUUCAGCCCCUUCACCAAAAAUAAAAAUUUAAUUCAACAUCGAGGUCGCAAACUUAAUUAUUAAUAAGAACUUGUUAAUCAAAUAACGCUGUUAUCCCUAGAGUAACUUCCCUAUAUAAUAUUUAACUACUUUUAUAAAAAUAUAUAUUCUUCAAAUGUUACCCCAACUAAAAAUUUCACAAAUUUUAAAAGCUUCUAGGGUCUUCUCGUCCCAAAGAUUUAUAAAAGCAUUUUUACUUUUAAUUUAAAUUCAAACUUAUUAAAUAAAACUUUCUUUCUAGUUUCUACCCUUCAUUCCAGCUCCCAAUUAAAAAG
rnacentral:rRNA from 1 species